GACGAACGCUGGCGGCGUGCUUAACACAUGCAAGUCGAACGGAAAGGCCCUGCUUUUGUGGGGUGCUCGAGUGGCGAACGGGUGAGUAACACGUGGGUAACCUGCCCUUGACUUUGGGAUAACUUCAGGAAACUGGGGCUAAUACCGGAUAGGAGCUCCUGCUGCAUGGUGGGGGUUGGAAAGUUUCGGCGGCUGGGGAUGGACUCGCGGCUUAUCAGCUUGUUGGUGGGGUAGUGGCUUACCAAGGCUUUGACGGGUAGCCGGCCUGAGAGGGUGACCGGCCACAUUGGGACUGAGAUACGGCCCAGACUCCUACGGGAGGCAGCAGUGGGGAAUAUUGCACAAUGGGCGGAAGCCUGAUGCAGCAACGCCGCGUGCGGGAUGACGGCCUUCGGGUUGUAAACCGCUUUCGCCUGUGACGAAGCGUGAGUGACGGUAAUGGGUAAAGAAGCACCGGCUAACUACGUG
rnacentral:rRNA from 1 species